GGGCUCCAUUGUUCCGUAAAAUAUUUUUUUAUUUUUAAUUUUUAACAAAAAUUUAAGUCAAAAUUGAGAUCCAAACAGAGAAUAUAAUAAUUUGUGACAACAAAACACCAAAAAUUUUAAGUACAUUCAAAAUGUAGCUUUUUAUUUUUAUUUUUUAUACACAGCAAACGUAGCAUUGCAAAGCUUAUAAUAAUAGAAACAAGAAAAACAAGCUUUCAAGAAAUAACACGGCAUUCCGAUUUUGUCCCCACAAAUUUAUCUUUAAUUCCCCAUAUUAGCCUUGUUUGUAUAUAAAAUUACAAACCCAAUCUUCUACCGAUUUCUCAACGAGUCUCUGCAACGCAUCGUUGCUCAGGAGAGAAGCCGACGGAAAGAUGAAACGGUCGGCGACUGAGGAGCCGAGAAGGAUCGACGGCAAGGGAUGCUGACGAACUAGAGAGAAUAUCUCCCUCUCUUUUUAACGCUUCACUUUCUUCUUGCAGAGGGAUACCGUUAUUGGCAUAAAAGCUAGGGUUUUUGUUGAAACACUAAACAAACUACAUGGCAUAGUUUGUUCAAGUAGAUUGCUUCAAGAAUGGAUCUGAACUUUCAGAGGCUGUUGCCGAUGCAAACAAAGCAAUUAAGUUGGAUCCUUCAAUGCCUAAAGAUAUUUGCGCAAUGGGUGGCAUUUCUGUACGUACUAGAUAAAGCAUUUCGAAGACACAACUUUUGGAGUCAGUAUAUUGUUGUCCUCCAUAAAACUUUGCAUGCAAUUGCUGGGUUCUUGUUUGAAUUUCAGACCACUAUAAUUAAUUUGUAUAUGUGUGUGUGUUUUUCUAAUAUUUGACACAACUUUUGGUGUCAGUAUAUUGCUUUCCUCCAUAAGUAUUUGCAUGCAAUUGCUGGGUUCUUGUUUGAAUUUCAAAUACCUAUACGUAAUUUGUGUGUA